rnacentral:rRNA from 1 species
UACGUAGGGUCCGAGCGUUGUCCGGAAUUAUUGGGCGUAAAGAGCUCGUAGGCGGUUUGUCGCGUCUGCUGUGAAAUCCCGAGGCUCAUCCUCGGGUCUGCAGUGGGUACGGGCAGACUGGAGUGCGGUAGGGGAGAAUGGAAUUCCUGGUGUAGCGGUGGAAUGCGCAGAUAUCAGGAGGAACACCGGUGGCGAAGGCGGGUCUCUGGGCAACAACUGACGCUGAGGAGCGAAAGCGUGGGGAGCGAACAGG